rnacentral:rRNA from 1 species
AUACGUAGGGAGCAAGCGUUGUCCGGAAUUACUGGGUGUAAAGGGCGUGUAGGCGGAGAUGCAAGUUGGGAGUGAAAUCCCGGGGCUCAACCCCGGAACUGCUUUCAAAACUGUAUCCCUUGAGUAUCGGAGAGGCAAGCGGAAUUCCUAGUGUAGCGGUGAAAUGCGUAGAUAUUAGGAAGAACACCAGUGGCGAAGGCGCUUCUCUGGACUGUAACUGACGCUGAGGCUCGAAAGCGUGGGGAGC